UCCAGAUUUGGGACUUUAUCAAUUUAUUUGGUAGAUAGCAGUUCUCUCAGCAAAGGUAUAUUGCAUUCCAUCUCUGCAGACUUGCUCACCUUAGCCCGAGCCACAUCUCUCCUGUAGGACUUUUCUGAAAGAGGCAAGACGCAGCCCACACAUGCUAGCAUUCUGAAAUUCUACCACCAUUUUCUCUGAUACCUUAACCUCAGUUGGCAUGAGGUAUCACUGCCCCAAACCCUACCUUCUUAACUAAGCCAAUUCCAUUUUUCAGAUCCUUUUACUUGCUGCACCUUACUUCUAGCUACCAAAUUCCGUAUAGGUUAAGAUUCUUCAUUGUAAGUAAUAGAAUCAUCUUCAGCUACUAAACAGAAUGGGAUCGAUGGGGGGGCAGUGUAUAGAUAGCUCACAGAAUCUUUGGGAGGGCUGAAAGAACGGAACUUAGGCUGAGCUUCUAGGAACUGCAUCAUGAGACUGGGCUGCCAAAGAAGCUGCUGCUUUUGGAACAAUCAAGAAGCUGCCUGCUAAAUCAGGAAGCCACCUGCCAGAUUAGGAAGUCAUGAAGUUGCCAGCUCCAGAACCACACCACCUCUGCCUUGCUUUGUGUCAGCAAAAAAUGGAUAUUUCAUGUCCUGCUUCUCUCCCCAUGUAACUCAGUUCUGAGUAAAAGUUUCAACUGUGCAAUAAAUCAAGAAGAAGUUGAUAAAGAGGCAGAGUUAGAUGAUGACCUUCAUCAUUUUCAUGCAAGAUUUUUGUCGCCUGAAAAAGCUGCUAGAGAAGAUCAUCUUUACCCUUAACCACUGGUGUCUCAACUUGAUACUUGAAUAAUUCAUUUGUUUUUUGUUGGAAUUGAGAAACUAAGGUGUAUUAGGUAAAAUGCAGAGUUCCUAUGGGUGAUACAAUGGAAGACAGUAAUUACAGCUUGUUUUCAAGAUUCAUGGCCAAAGCUGGCAUCAGGCAGCUCAGCAACCAGGUCUGGUGUCCCUGAAGUUAUCAGCCCGUGAUGUUCUUUUUGAAAUGAAGAGUGCUACAAGGGAGUGUAGGGGGAGAAGAAAUGCUAGGUGCAAAGGGUAAUUCAUAUGGAAUCAGAGUAAUCAGCUUUGUGAAGAACAUGUCUAGCUACAAGUGUUUGUUAGUAGUAACAGCUAAAGAAUAACCAAGAUUGCUUAACUCUUUCAGGCCUGUUUAUGUUGUUUCCCCAGCCUGUUCAUUGUUUCCUUAUUUUCCUUGUUUAUCAGAAAAGAAAAGCCUCAUUUCUAUUUUGUUUUUGUAAAUUUAUUUAUUUAUCUUGGCUGCAUUGGGUCUUUGUUGCUG